GACGGAAGGUGCAAGCGUUGCUCGGAAUCACUGGGCGUAAAGGGUGCGUAGGCGGCUUGGUAAGUUGGGUGUGAAAGCCCCGGGCUCAGCCCGGGAAGGGCACUCGAAACUGCCGAGCUGGAGUGCCGGAGGGGAGAGUGGAAUUCCUGGUGUAGCGGUGAAAUGCGUAGAUAUCAGGAGGAAUACCGGUGGCGAAAGCGACUCUCGUG
rnacentral:rRNA from 1 species